CCGACGUCAGUCUCCGCCUGCUUCAGCAACUGGGCAAGGAUUAGGAGCUCCUGACAUGAAGAGAACGCUGUCUGAGCGGCGAACAGGUGGGUGGUGUCUCCCUUUCAAACCCGACCCCGUGAUCAGCUGAUCACUACCUGACAGGAACAACAACGGCUGACGAGUACCCCCAGGUGUGAUCCUUCAUUGUGGCCAGGUGAUGAUGCUGAACUGAUAGCUGCAUCCCAGUCUGUGGAAGAUUCACUGAAGUCC